rnacentral:rRNA from 1 species
AUUGAACGCUGGCGGCAGGCCUAACACAUGCAAGUCGAACGAGUGGCGGACGGGUGAGUAAUGUCUGGGAAACUGCCUGCUGGAGGGGGAUAACUACUGGAAACGGUAGCUAAUACCGCAUACCAUCAGAUGUGCCCAGAUGGGAUUAGCUUGUUGGUGGGGUAACGGCUCACCAAGGCGACGAUCCCUAGCUGGUCUGAGAGGAUGACCAGCCACACUGGAACUGAGACACGGUCCAGACUCCUACGGGAGGCAGCAGUGGGGAAUAUUGCACAAUGGGCGCAAGCCUGAUGCAGCCAUUCCGCGUGCAUGAAGAAGGCCGUCGGGUUCUAAAUUACUUUCAGCCAGGAUGCGCUACCCGCACAAGAAGCAGCGGCUUACCUCGUGCCAGCAGCCGCGGUAAUUC